CUUUAGUAAAAAGACAUCAAUUUGAAAGAAUUCUCAACAAAGUUUUCAAAUGUGUAGACUUUCUUUUUCCUUGGUUUUUUUUUUUUUUUUUUUUUUUUUUCCAUUUUAAAACUAUUCGAAUGAACUGGGCAAAAGACUGGCAAUUCCUGAUAGCUUUGAGAUUCCCUCCAAUUUCUCUUUAAAAUUCUCCAGGAAGAUAAACAGAAAGAUUAAACGGGGAAAUGAAAGCUGAGAAGACCAUAUGCAACACACAGGCUGAUUCUCCACUCUCUGUGCCAUUCAAAAGGGACUGUACAGAGCUGCAUAUUUUCUGAAUUAAAAGUUGUACGCUCCAUAGCCCGACCAAAGCAGGACAGAUGCUCCCAGAGGAGACUGGGCCUCUUCUGAGUCAUGCUUUCUGUUACUGUGAAACACCAGGUUAACACUAACCAGAAAAACACAGAUUCCCCCACUUUUGAAGCAGUCAAAGCCAGAUUUCUGCCAUCCACCCACCAGCCAACAUCUCCUGUUUCGUUUCGGCCAGGCUCUUCUGCUGUUAUCCUUCAGCCAGAGUGUGGUAGAUGGUAGAUGGAGGGAAGCAAGCGGGGAGUAUUGGAGAAACAAUUUAGCAGCUCCCACUGGAAGAAGCCACUCACAGAUAAAGGAACAUGCAGUUCCCAGAAGAGAAGGGGUCCAAAUCUACCCCUCUCCCAGGAGAUCUGCCCUGGAUAAAUCAACUGACCUGGGUUCUACCAGCAGCCUUACCUUCUAGCCUGCAUGCGAAAGGGGUGCUGCCAGCAUCCACAGCUCCUUUCUAAGCAGGUACCUCCAUGCCCCACGUGCUGUGAGCUGAGCCACUCUCGAGAGCUGACAGGAGCUGCCUCGCUUGGAAAUGCAAUGUUCAUCCAAAUGAGUGGCACUGUGCAGAAGCCCAGACCCUUGCUUCAAGGUAGGACCAUGCUGUGGGGUUGCUUACACUUCAGAGCUCCCCAUGGGCUCAGCUGAGACCAGACUUCAGCUGCACCCACAAUAUCAUCAAGUUCCAUCCUCAGCCACAUGCUGCUGUAUCUCUUACAGGUUUUACCCGCAAACGCUGUCUCACCACGUCACUGCCCAAGAAUCCCCUCUCAUGGCCAGGCAUGGUGGCUCACACCUGAAAUCUCAGCUCUCUGGGAGGCCGACAUGGGCGGAUCACUUCAGAUUUCAAAUUAAAUUCCAAAAAGCAGAGAGCCAGGCUGUUUUGUAGUUCUGAAAAUGCAUUGCCAAAUCAUUCUUCUAUGGGGAUUGUCCCAGCCAUACUCCCUCCAGCAACGUUUCAGAGUCGGAGUAACAACCACGCAGCCAGCACUAGACCUCAUCAUCAGUCCAAACCAAUAAGGUUAUGUUAUUGCUGCUUUUAUUUGUAUGUCUUGGAUUGCUAAUGAGGUUGAACGUUUCCCCACAUUUGUCUACUAAUUGCACAUCUUUCUUAUGUGGAUUUCAAAUCUGAGAAGAAAAUUCCACGCCAGCUUUCCAGAAGUUUCAACACCAUGAGAUUAAUUUCAAUGUGUGUGUGAGGGCUUUUCAGUUCCAUGGAAGACAAUUCCAAGUUUAAAAACUGGGCAGAGUCAUCAGGAC
rnacentral:lncRNA from 13 species